rnacentral:rRNA from 1 species
CCUACGGGAGGCUGCCGUGGGGAAUAUUGGACAAUGGGCGAAAGCCUGAUCCAGCCAUGCCGCGUGUGUGAAGAAGGCCUUCGGUUUGUAAAGCACUUUCAGUGGGGAAGAAAGCCUUGGGGCUAAUACCCUCGAGGAAGGACAUCACCCACAGAAGAAGCACCGGCUAACUCCGUGCCAGCAGCCGCGGUAAUACGGAGGGUGCGAGCGUUAAUCGGAAUUACUGGGCGUAAAGCGCGCGUAGGCGGUCUGAUAAGCCGGUUGUGAAAGCCCCGGGCUCAACCUGGGAACGGCAUCCGGAACUGUCAGGCUAGAGUGCAGGAGAGGAAGGUAGAAUUCCCGGUGUAGCGGUGAAAUGCGUAGAGAUCGGGAGGAAUACCAGUGGCGAAGGCGGCCUUCUGGACUGACACUGACGCUGGGGUGCGAAAGCGUGGGUAGCAAACAGGAUUAGAUACCCCAGUAGUC